rnacentral:lncRNA from 1 species
CGAUGUCUCCGAUGGACAGCUCUCUCAGCCGGUCACUAGGUUCGGUUUCAGUGAACGAUAUGUUAUCAUCUCUCCGGCGUUUGCAGCUUAACAACAAAACCCCAUCUAUGUCGACAGCAUGGAGCCUACAAAUGGGUAUGACCCUUCCCUCCCCCCGGUCGGGUUUCUACAGCCUCCCAUCAACUCCGACCCGACCUGUACCCCGACCCGGUCUAGGGUUUUCAGAUAUCUGGGAAGAAGGGUGUGUGGAGGAAGAACCUGCCAUGGAAAGAGUGGAAUCUGGUAGGGGUUUGAGGGUGAAGAUGUUUGAGAAGUUGAGCAAGGAGAAUCUGGUAGGGGUGGAUCCGAAC